GAUGAAGAACGCAGCGAAAUGCGAUACGUAAUGUGAAUUGCAGAAUUCAGUGAAUCAUCGAGUCUUUGAACGCACAUUGCGCCCCCUGGUAUUCCGGGGGGCAUGCCUGUCCGAGCGUCAUUGCUGCCCUCAAGCACGGCUUGUGUGUUGGGCCUCCGUCCUCCUCCCGGGGGACGGGCCCGAAAGGCAGCGGCGGCACCGCGUCCGGUCCUCGAGCGUAUGGGGCUUCGUCACCCGCUCUUGUAGGCCCGGCCGGCGCUUGCCGACACAUCAAUCUUUUUUCCAGGUUGACCUCGGAUCAGGUAGGGAUACCCGCUGAACUUAAGCAUAUCAAUAAGCGAAGGA
rnacentral:misc_RNA from 1 species